rnacentral:lncRNA from 1 species
GGUUCUUCCCUGUAUUCUCCCUGCUUUUCCGUCUGCAUUCUCACUCUUUUCCUGUUUUUUCUCUUCUGCUUCUCUUCUGCUGUUCUAUCCUCUGUGUAUCCUCACUGCUCUUUCAUCUCUAUCCUUGCUCUUCAGCGUUUUUUUCCCCUGCUUCCUCUCCAUACUUCGUCUGCCCUGCUUUUCUUCCCUGUAACGUGACAUCUCUUUUCUUCUGCAUCUGCUCUCCUCCUCCUCUUUCUUCCCUGUAUUCUCCCUGCUCAUUCUCGGGCAGCUGUGCUCCUCUUCUGUUCUUUCCUCCUCGUAUCCUCACUCUUCUGAUGGUUUCCAUUGCAUCUCACCACUGCACUUCUACCUGCAUCUGCUUUUCUCUUCUGCUGUAUGUUUCCCUGCUUCCUCACUCCUCUUUCUUCUGCAUCGGCUUUACUCUUCUGCUCUUCUUUCUUCCCUCACUCCUUUUCCAUCUGCCCACCUCUUAGGCUCUCCCUUCUUUUCUAUCCUCCCUGCUCUUUCCUCUGCAUUCUCACUCUUCUCCUGUUCUUAUUCCCCUGCAUCAUCCUCACUCCUUUUCCCUCUGCAUCAGCACUGCUCUUCUGUUGGAUUUUGUUUCCUGUUGCCAGACUUGUCUUUAUUCUGCAUCUGCACUCCUCUUCCCCUGUUCUUUCUUCUCUGUCUCCUCACUCCUCUUUCUGCUGCCUCUGCUCUCCUCUCUGCUUUUCUUUGUUCCCUGUAUUCUCACUUGUCUUUCUUCUGACUGCUCUUGAAGAGAGAGAGCAGGACCCUGCAGUUUGAGAGAGAAGGGCCUCACAGCAAGAAAGGGGAAAGCAGCUUCACAAAGUAGAAACAAGGGGCAAAUAGAGAUAGUUUAGGUAGAGAGUGUUAGAAAACAAGGGGUUCCAAGCACUUUCACAGACACUGGGUCUGGAAUAGCAAGGAGGAUGAAGGCCAUAGAGAUAAGGGCUGGAGAGCAGCUCGAAAAAACAUUUGGCAGGGAGGUGAUUAGAUGUCUACAGGGCAAGUUGAAACUGGUUUGGGGGAUGCCCCCCCUUCAGGGUCAGAAGUUUGCAGCGAGGAAGACUACGAGCCUUUGUGAGGAAGACUGCAAGCCUUCAUCAUCACGACCUACUACGCCCGCGCAAG